rnacentral:rRNA from 1 species
UACGUAGGGUGCAAGCGUUAAUCGGAAUUACUGGGCGUAAAGCGUGCGCAGGCGGUUUUGUAAGUCUGUCGUGAAAUCCCCGGGCUCAACCUGGGAAUUGCGAUGGAGACUGCAAGGCUAGAAUCUGGCAGAGGGGGGUAGAAUUCCACGUGUAGCAGUGAAAUGCGUAGAGAUGACCCGGAACACCGAUUGCGAAGGCAGCCCGCUAAGCAACUAUUGACGCUGAGGCACGAAAGCGUGGGGAUCAAACAGG